rnacentral:rRNA from 1 species
GAUGAACGCUGGCGGCGUGCCUAAUACAUGCAAGUCGAGCGAACGGACGAGAAGCUUGCUUCUCUGAUGUUAGCGGCGGACGGGUGAGUAACACGUGGAUAACCUACCUAUAAGACUAGGAUAACUUUGGGAAACCGGAGCUAAUACCGGAUGAUAUUUUGAACCGCAUGGUUCAAAAGUGAAAGACGGUCUUGCUGUCACUUAUAGAUGGAUCCGCGCUGCAUUAGCUAGUUGGUAAGGUAACGGCUUACCAAGGCAACGAUGCAUAGCCGACCUGAGAGGGUGAUCGGCCACACUGGAACUGAGACACGGUCCAGACUCCUACGGGAGGCAGCAGUAGGGAAUCUUCCGCAAUGGGCGAAAGCCUGACGGAGCAACGCCGCGUGAGUGAUGAAGGUCUUCGGAUCGUAAAACUCUGUUAUUAGGGAAGAACAUAUGUGUAAGUAACUGUGCACAUCUUGACGGUACCUAAUCAGAAAGCCACGGCUAACUACGUG